CAGAUGUGAAAGACCCGGGGCGUCAACCUCGGAAUUGCAUUUGUAAACUAGGCAGACUAGAGUACUGUAGAGGGGGGUAGGAAUUUCUAGGUGUAGCGGUGAAAUGCGUAGAGAUCUGAAGGAAUACCGGUGGCGAAGGCGGCCCCCUCGGACAGAUACUGACACUCAGAUGCGAAAGCGUGGGGAGCAAACAGGAUUAGAUACCCUGGUAG
rnacentral:rRNA from 1 species